rnacentral:rRNA from 1 species
UACGGAGGGUGCAAGCGUUGUCCGGAAUCACUGGGCGUAAAGGGCGCGUAGGCGGCUCAUGAAGGCUGUGGUGAAAGUCCGGGGCUCAACCUCGGAUCGGCCGUGGCGACUCGUGGGCUGGAGCACUGUAGAGGCGGGUGGAAUUCCGGGUGUGGCGGUGGAAUGCGUAGAGAUCCGGAAGAACACCAGUGGCGAAGGCGGCCCGCUGGGCAGUGGCUGACGCUGAGGCGCGACAGCGUGGGGAGCAAACAGG